AUUUAUUAAGUGCAAUAGAAAUAUUAUUUCUAUUAUUUACUUGAAGUCGUGAUUAAUUUUCGACUUAUAAAACGAGUUAUAUAAUAUGUAAUUCGUAGAGAGUUAUAACGAAGCUUCGUUAUAUGGGAACCCGAAAUUAGUAUUACAAAUACAGAAUGAGGAUUUUAUAAUAAUUACAUCACAACUUUACAACUUAUUAUUCCCUACAUCCCUAUUUCAUACCUACUUCAUCAAGAAGGCAAACCAAACGUGUACUAGGUGUGUGCAGAAUAGCUUUACAGCAAUUUUACCACCUAGAGAGUUUUUUUUUAAGCCACCCUACGACAGCACCAUCCACUCCACCAAACUUCCCACCACUCUUUGCUCCCCACCAUCUUCAAUUCUUUAAGACUACUAGUUCCUUCAACCACCAAAGGGAGGAGAAUUCAAUUACUGCUGCCAAACUUCGAACAGGUAAGGUUUGGUUUAAGUUUUUCCACCAGUCCAUUCUUGAUUCCUCUGCAUAUGUCAAUAAGCAUCUGAAAAUUUCAGCUAUCUCCUCAUUAAAUUCAAUAGCAACAAACAGCCACCAACAACAAGCAAUUACAGGUCAAGCACGAGAGUAAGAACUAUUCAAGGAGUCACAGUACCUUAGCAAAACUUUGCUAUCAGGUUGAGCUGUGAUGGGCGAUGAAGUGUUGCUGAGUGGAGUUUUUGUCGAACUUAAAGUAGGCUCAGAAAGGAUACAUGUCUUCAUACAUGUAUCUCAGUUAUGCAUUCCGCUGUAAACACUGAUUAUUUCAGUUACACCUUCCGUUGCAAACUCUGAUAAUGUUUUAGCCAAGCCCCUAAAAAUGCCUUUUUCCUUUUUAAGGAAUAUAACGCGUAUACAA